GCCUGGGUGGCUCAGUCGGUUGAGCGUCCGACUUUCGGCUCAGGUCAUGAUCUCGUGGUUCGUGGGUUCGAGCCCCGCGUCAGGCU
rfam:Felis catus isolate Cinnamon breed Abyssinian chromosome X, whole genome shotgun sequence.